rnacentral:rRNA from 1 species
UACAGAGGGGGCAAGCGUUGUUCGGAAUUACUGGGCGUAAAGGGCGCGUAGGCGGCCUGCUAAGUCGGACGUGAAAUCCCUGGGCUCAACCCAGGAACUGCGUCCGAGACUGGAGGGCUAGAAUCCGGGAGAGGGAUGUGGAAUUCCAGGUGUAGCGGUGAAAUGCGUAGAUAUCUGGAGGAACAUCGGUGGCGAAGGCGGCAUCCUGGACCGGUAUUGACGCUGAGGCGCGAAAGCCAGGGGAGCAAACGGG